rnacentral:rRNA from 1 species
GGGUCAGUAGGUUGGUCGUGCCACCGGUACGUACUGGUCUCACUGAUUCCUCCUUCCUGAAGAACCGUAAUGCCAUUAAUUUGGUGUUGCGGGGAAACAGGACUGUUACUUUGAAGAAAUUAGAGUGUUUAAAGCAAGCUAACGCUUGAAUACAUUGGCAUGGAAUAAUGAAAUAGGACGAUCGAUCCUAUUUUGUUGGUUUCUAGGAUUGACGUA